AAGCUCGUAGUUGAAUUUCGGGGUCAGUAGGUUGGUCGUGCCACUGGUAUGUACUGAUCUCACUGAUUCCUCCUUCCUGAUGAGCUGUAAUGCCAUUAAUUUGGUGUUGCAGGGAAUCUGGACUGUUACUUUGAAAAAAUUAGAGUGUUUAAAGCAGGCUAACGCUUGAAUACAUUAGCAUGGAAUAAUGAAAUAGGACGUUCGAUCCUAUUUUGUUGGUUUCUAGGAUUGACGUAAUGAUUAAUGGGAUAGUUGGG
rnacentral:rRNA from 1 species